ensembl:lncRNA
AGUAGGUACAUGGCAGUAGGUAGAAGUAGGUACAUGGCAGUAGGUAGAAGUAGGUACAUGGCAGUAGGUACAAGUAGGUACAUGGCAGUAGGUACAAGUAGGUACAUGGCAGUAGGUAGAAGUAGGUACAUGGUAGAAGUAGGUACAUGGCAGUAGGUAGAAGUAGGUACAUGGCAGUAGGUACAAGUAGGUACAUGGCAGUAGGUACAAGUAGGUACAUGGCAGUAGGUACAUGGCAGUAUGUCGUUGAAGGUACAUAGUAGUAGGUAGAAGUAGAUACCUGGCAGUAGGUACAAGUAGGUACCUGGCAGUAGGUAAAAGUAGGUACCUGGCAGUAGGUAAAAGUAGGUACCUGGCAGUAGGUAAAAGUAGGUACCUGGCAGUAGGUAAAAGUAGGUACCUGGCAGUAGGUACCUGGCAUAUAUGUAUUGAUUUAGAAUGGACCAUAUCCAUAUCUUGUCUCAGAACGGGCAGGAGAAAAAAAUAGAUGCAUUUGAAUAGAGAAUGGAGGAUGCGUUUCCCCUGGUUCAUUCUCAUGCCAGCCAGGUAGGCUAUACUCCUGUUGUAAAGAGAAGCAAUGUGCUUAAUAUCAGGAACGUUCUUAAAUAAAUAUAGUAGGCUUAGCCUAUAGAAAGCUGAUGGGUUCCUCCUAUUUUUAAUAGAGGUCAUCACUCUGUAUUCUUACAUAAUGACAUACCCUAUAGAAACGUUGCUCCACUUGAGCUCAUGGGCUCUCAUGAAGUGUUUGAUUUGAUUUUACAUUGAUGUCAGAGUGAUUAGAGGCACAAUAAAAUGCUGAGUACCAGGUAGUUAGCAAGUUUAGUUGGUUAACAAUCACCAGCAGCAGAGCUUGGAGAUGCCUAAUUACCGUGACGUGGAAUUUGACUGCCGGUAAUGGUAACCGUAACAGCCCUAACGAGGCCCCACCUGGCAGAGAGACGCUAUGCUAAGAUGCCCUGACUACUGUAGGCUUUUGGUCCAGCUAUAUAACAGUCCUGAUUCAACUGAUUGAGAUCUAUGAUUAUAGUCAUUUAGCAGACACUUUCAUCCAGAGAAAUUGAGGCUGAAGUUCCUUGCUCUGGAAUUCGAACCAGCUGGACCAAAAGCACACAGUGCCUUUUGGACCUAAGUAGCUCCUCCUGCCCAAAACAUUUCUGCCCUCCUUCCACUCUACUAUCUAUCCCACAAUCCUUUGCUCUUGAUUCUCUGUCAACCAAUUAAGUCCUCUGCUACACUCUUUCUGAAAGACAAUUCCUCAAAUUGUUUAGAUUAAUGAUUUAUUUUAUUCAUCAUGAAAUAAUGUAAAGUUGUAUCAUUUUUGACUGAAUAUUUAAUGUUCUAGCUGGUGUUAUAGGUGAUAUAAUGUGUUAGUGCUGGAGAGAUUGAAUAUGUCCGUAAACAGCCAGCUGGUCUGCGCAGGCUCUGAGGACGUGGCUGGGGAUGCCGUCUGGGCACUAACACAUUAUAUCACCUAUAACACCAGCUAGAGGGAGGAAAAUGGUUUAAUUGUUUUUCUCUCAUUAAUCUACACACAAUACCCCAUAAUGACAAAGCAAAAACAGAUUUUUUUGAAAUGUAUAAAAAAAAUGUAAAAAAAUAUCACAUUUACAUAAGUAUUCAGACCCUUUACUCAGUACUUUGUUGAAGCACCUUUGGCAGGUUUUCAUCAAGGAUCUCUCUGUACUUUGCAUCGCAUCGUUCAUCUUUCCCUUGAUCUUUUCCCUCCCAGUCCCUGCCGCUGAAAAACAUCCCCACAGCAUGAUGCUGCUCAGUUUGGCCGGGCGGACAGAUCUAGGAAGAGUCUUUGUGGUUCCAAACUUCUUUGAUUUAAUGAUGGAGGCCACUGUGUUCUUGGGGACCUUCAAUACUGCAGACAUUUUUUGGUACCCUUCCCCCAGAUCUGUACCUCAUCACAAUCCUCUCUGAGCUCUACGGACAAUUUCUUUGACCUCAUGGCUUGGUUUUUGCUCUGACAUGCACUGUCGACUGUGGGACCUUAUAUAGCCAGGUGUGUUUCUUUCCAAAUCAUGUCCAAUCAAUUGAAUUUACCACAGGUGGACUCCAGUCAAGUUAUAGAAACAUCUCAAGGAUGAUUAAUGGAAACAGGAUGCACCUGAGUUCAAUUUCGAGUCUCAUAGCAAAGGGUCUGAAUACUUAUGUAAAUAAGGUUUUUAACUUUGUGAUUAUGGGCUAUUGUGAUGUCAUUAUGGGGUAUUGUGUGUAGAUUAAUGAGGGAAAUGUUUUAUUUAAUCCAUUUUUAGAAUAAGGCUGUAACGUUACAAAAUGUGGAAAAAGUCAAGAGGUCUGAAUACUUUGUAUCAUACAGUGAAAAAUAAUUGUCAAAUAAAAAGGUUCAGCCCAGGUUCACAUACUGCACAAAGGUACGGCUGAGAUCCCACCUAGGUCCCCGGCCAAGAGAUGGGCCAGAUACAGGCUGCCCUACAGACCUUACAUGGGGCCAUGGCUGAGAUCCCACCUAGGUCCCCGGCCAAGAGGUGGGCCAGAUACAGGCUGCCCUACAGACCUUACAUGGGGCCAUGGCUGAGA